GGUGGUAAAUGCCAUCUAAAGCUAAAUAUUGGCGAGAGACCGAUAGCGAACAAGUACCGUGAGGGAAAGAUGAAAAGAACUUUGGAAAGAGAGUUAAACAGUACGUGAAAUUGCUGAAAGGGAAACGCUUGAAGUCAGUCACGUUGACUUGAAAUCAGCUCUGCUUUUGCUGGGUGUACUUUCUUGUCAAUGGGUCAGCAUCAAUUUUGACCAUUGGAUAAAGUUGUUGGGAAUGUAGCAUCCUUUUGGAUGUGUUAUAGCCUUGCGAUGCAUACAGUGGUUGGGAUUGAGGAAUUCAGCAUGCCGCAAGGCCGGGUUUUGCCACCACGUUCAUGCUUAGGAUGCUGGCAUAAUGGCUUUAAUUGACCCGUCUUGAAACACGGACCAAGGAGUCUAACAUAUCUGCGAGUGUUUGGGUGGAAAACCCAUGUGCGUAAUGAAAGUGAAAGUUGAGAUCCCAUCUGGGAGCAUCGACGCCCGGACCAGACCUUUUGUGACGGAUCCGCGGUAGAGCAUGUAUGUUGGGACCCGAAAGAUGGUGAACUAUGCCUGAAUAGGGUGAAGCCAGAGGAAACUCUGGUGGAGGCUCGUAGCGAUUCUGACGUGCAAAUCGAUCGUCAAAUUUGGGUAUAGGGGCG
rnacentral:rRNA from 1 species